rnacentral:rRNA from 1 species
UCCCAGACUCCUACGGGAGGCAGCAGUGAGGAAUAUUGGUCAAUGGGCGAGAGCCUGAACCAGCCAAGUCGCGUGAAGGAUGACGGCCCUACGGGUUGUAAACCUCUUUUGUCAGGGAGCAAAGGCGUCCACGUGUGGACGAGAGGAGAGUACCUGAAGAAAAAGCAUCGGCUAACUCCGUGCCAGCAGCCGCGGUAAUACGGAGGAUGCGAGCGUUAUCCGGAUUUAUUGGGUUUAAAGGGUGCGUAGGCGGAGUGUCAAGUCAGCGGUAAAAUUUCGGGGCUCAGCCCCGUCGUGCCGUUGAAACUGGGGGCCUUGAGUGGGCGAGAAGUAUGCGGAAUGCGUGGUGUAGCGGUGAAAUGCAUAGAUAUCACGCAGAACUCCGAUUGCGAAGGCAGCAUACCGGCGCCCAACUGACGCUGAAGCACGAAAGCGUGGGUAUCGAACAGGAUUAGAUACCCCCGUACAG